GUUCCAGGUAACAGUGCCCCCACCCUCACCGUCCUGCCCCCCUCUAGUGAGGAGCUGUCCAGUACAACAACAGCCACACUGACUUGUCUGGCCAACAAGGGCUUCCUUUCAGACUGGACCAUGAACUGGAAAGUGGACGGGACCAGCAAGACGCAGGAGGCCAGUUCUAGGGUCCUGGAGAAGGACGGCCUGUACAGCUGGAGCAGCACCCUGACUCUCACUGCCCAGGAGUGGACCAAGGCAGGAGAGGUGACCUGUGAAGCCCAGCAGAAAUCCCAGAGCCCAGGCACCAAGACCCUGAGGAGGGCUGACUGUUCUGGGUAGGACUCCACAGUCACACACCCCUGUGGAGAGAGUUCCUCUGCUUUAACACCCCUGCUGAUUCCUUUGCUUGGACUCUGUUCUGAGUUCAGAUGUUCUCUGUCUUAUUGGUCACUGACAUGU